rnacentral:rRNA from 1 species
AGAACGAACGCUGGCGGCAUGCCUAAUACAUGCAAGUCGAACGAACUCUUCGGAGUUAGUGGCGCACGGGUGCGUAACUCGUGGGAAUCUGCCCUUGGGUUCGGAAUAACAGUUGGAAACGACUGCUAAUACCGGAUGAUGACGAAAGUCCAAAGAUUUAUCGCCCAGGGAUGAGCCCGCGUAGGAUUAGCUAGUUGGUGAGGUAAAGGCUCACCAAGGCGACGAUCCUUAGCUGGUCUGAGAGGAUGAUCAGCCACACUGGGACUGAGACACGGCCCAGACUCCUACGGGAGGCAGCAGUAGGGAAUAUUGGAC